AUGUUUAUGAUUUUUUGGUUUUCAAUGGAGUUUUCUUUUUCCUUUACAUGGGAUGGGGGAGGAUGGAAAUUGGUUUGGAGAAUCAAAUCAAUGUUUAAAGGAUCAAAAGAAGAAAGAAUGAAAUUACAUUGCUUAAAAACUUCAAAGAGAAGGUUAGAUUCAAUCAAUCAUCACCAAUUAACUGCUCCUUCUUAUGCACAAUCUUCAUACCUUCUGAACUUGGCAAAUCUCUUCUUCAUCUCCUAA